GAAUGUGAGGUCUAUCUGGACUGUAACAGGUCACCCCGUUGAUCUCCUGUGUUGAUUAAGUUGGUCUGGUUGCUAGGCAGGUGUCCCCCUCUUUCCUCACUCUUCCAUGUGUGUUCCUUCCAAAACUGAGCACUAGGCUGAAGUGGAGCACCUUCCAAGAUAGAGGAGGAAUCCGUCUUCCUCUAAGGUAUGUGAAUAGCUGUGCACCCUGCUAGAAUGUCCAAACAAGCUCUGAAGAAAUGAAUACACACUGUGGUUAUUUUUUAAUCCAUGAAGCCCUGCCACUUUCCUAACAUU
rnacentral:snRNA from 1 species